rfam:Pichia kudriavzevii strain SD108 scaffold00057, whole genome shotgun sequence.
AAAGAAAAGAGUAUGAUGUCGGCUCAGAUUAAGCGUUAUCUAAGGACAUAAUACAUGCGAAUUGAACGAUAUUAAUAUAAAAAGUAAGAUAUUAAUAUAGUAGUGUAAAGGUGAGUAAAAUAUUAAAAUGUGAACUAUCUAAAAUAUAUGAAAUAUAUAUAAAAAGUAUAUAUAUAUAUUCUUAUAUAUAUAUAUAAAAUAAAGGAGAAAUCCGUAGAGAGUCCAGUUAAUAUGUGGAAUAGGUAGUAGGAAAAGAGAAAGAGAUUAACCUAGCCAAAGAUCCAUAGUCAAUAAUGAAAGUUAUAAUGACCACAUUGAUCUUGAAUAAGGUCAAUAUAAAAGAUGUAAUAAGAGAAUUGCAUAUAAUACAGCAGUAAGGAAUAUUAGACAAUGAUCGAAAGAUUGAUCUAGUUACUUAGAAAGAUGAAGAUUAUAAAAAAAAAAAAAGAAAGUAAUAAUGAAGAAUAUAAAAUCAAUAUAUAUAUAUAAGAAUAAUGAUGAGAAUAUAUAUAGAAGUCUUAACCAAAAUUAGUGCCAGCAGUUGCGGCUAAACUAAGGAGGCAAACGUUAAUCAUUAAUGGCUUAAAGGAUCCGUAGAAUGACAUGUAAUAUAAACAUGUAAGAGUUAAAUGAAAAUAAUAUAGAAAAAUUAAAUAGAGAGAUGAAAUGUGUGGAAAAUAAUUAGACAAAUAAACGUGAAAAUAAUAUUAAGAAUUUAACUGACAUUGAGGGAUGAAGGCAUGAGUAGCAAAACGGAUUAGAUACCCGAGUAGUUCAUGCAGUAAACGAUGAAUACUAUAAAAAGAAUGUAAAGAAGCGAAAGCGAAAGUAUUCCGCCAGGAGAGUAUAGCUUCAAAGUUGAAAUCCAAGACAAUAGACGGUUACAGUUGUAGGCAGUGGAUUGUGUUUUUUAAUUCGAUAAUCCCCGAAAAUCUUACCAUUAUUUGAAUCAAAUUAAGAAAAAAGAAAUUAAGAAUGACAAAUGUUACAUCGUUGUUUAAAGUCUGUGCUUUAAGGUUAUGAUUAACUUCAUAAACAGACGAAAAUCCGAAUCUAUAAAAAAGAAUAUAGAUAAAAAUUAAUUUAAUUAAUAAAAUUAAUAAUAAAAGGAACUACAACAAAUCCUGAUGACUUUAAUAUAAUGGGCUAAAGACGCAAUACAAAAUUGAUAUAUAAAAUUAAAUAAAAUAAUAAAUAAAGAUAAAAUAAUAAAUAAAAAUGGAAUAUCAAAUAUAUUUCUAAUAUAUAUAUAAUAUAUAUAGCGUAUAAAUAUAUAAAAUGUGAAUUAAUCUCUGAAAUUCGAGAUUAUGAAAAAGGAAUUGCUAGUAAUCAUAAUUCAUUAAGUUAUGGUGAACUUCCUUUCUGUUUCGUACUAAUUACUCAUCAUUCGCUUGAAGUUUAUCUAAAUAUUAAAAAUAUAAUAUAUAUAAUAUAUGAUCUAUAAAUUCUAAAUAUAUUAUAAUGUAUUAUAUACUCAGUUAGAAAAUGACUAGUGAGAAGUUGAAAUACAGUUAUCGUUGAGGAAUCAGCGGUGGGUGGUAAAAAUUA